UGGAAAAUUCGCUUGCACAAAAUCAACGCCGCGGCUGAUUUAUUAUUAAUGUGCUCAAGCAAAUUCA
rfam:Drosophila sechellia strain Rob3c scaffold_0 genomic scaffold, whole genome shotgun sequence.